UACAGAGGGUGCGAGCGUUGUCCGGAAUCACUGGGCGUAAAGGGCGCGUAGGUGGCGCUCCAAGUCUGUGGUGAAAGCUCGACGCUCAACGUCGAGUCGGCCAUAGAGACUGGAGGGCUCGAGCACUGUAGGGGCAGAUGGAAUUCCGGGUGUAGCGGUGGAAUGCGUAGAGAUCCGGAAGAACACCGGUGGCGAAGGCGGUCUGCUGGGCAGUUGCUGACACUGAGGCGCGACAGCGUGGGGAGCAAACAGGG
rnacentral:rRNA from 1 species